rnacentral:rRNA from 1 species
UACGUAGGAGGCGAGCGUUGUCCGGAGUUACUGGGCGUAAAGCGCACGCAGGCGGUCAGAUCAGUCUGGAGUGACAGUCGUCGGCUUAACCGACGAAGUGUUCUGGAAACUGUCUGACUUGAGGGCUUCAGAGGGACACGGAAUUCCGGGUGGAGUGGUGAAAUGCGUAGAUAUCGGGAAGAACACCCGUGGCGAAGGCGGCUCUCUGGGACGGUACUGGACGCUGAG